UUACAAUUUUGAAAGCAAACAAAAAACAGACCAUGUGCUAUAGUACUUUCUAACACAGACUUAGACAGUGAUAAUUAUCAACGUUUAGUUUUUUGUUUUUUUAAAGGCGGUACACAGACGGAUUGUCCGACGUGAUGGAGGAUGCAGUCAGAAUCUGUCUGCAAAAAAUGAAGUGAUUAGGUCUAUGAUUGCCUUAAAACAAUGCAGUACAGACCAUUGGUUUCGAAAUGCAGACAUGUGGGCCAAUUUUGGAUGGAGAGUUUACCACCAAGACAGUGAAACGAACAACCUUGUUGAGAGAUUUUUUUUCAGCAUGAAGUAUCAGUUUCUUCAUGGCUAUGCAAACAGACGAGUUGA